rnacentral:tRNA from 2 species
GGCGCUGUAGGCGAAUUGGUAGAGCCGGCAGUCUGCAAAACUGCGCCUUCGGGCACGUGCGGGUUCAAGUCCCGUCAGCGCCUCCA